rnacentral:rRNA from 1 species
CCUACGGGUGGCUGCAGUGGGGAAUAUUGCUCAAUGGGCGAAACCCUGAUGCAGCCACGCCGCGUGUAUGAUGAAGGUUUUCGGAUUGUAAACUCCUUUUAUUAGGGAGGAUAGUGACGAGAUCUAUCGCAUAAGCACCGGCUAACUCCGUGCCAGCAACCGCGGUAAUACGGAGGGUGCAAGCGUUACUCGGAAUCACUGGGCGUAAAGAGCGCGGAGGCGGGAUAGCAAGUCAGAUGUGAAAUCCUAGGGCUUAACCAGAGAACUGCAUUUGAAACUGUUAUUCUAGAGUAUGGUAGAGGGAGGUGGAAUUCUUGGUGUAGCGGUAAAAUCCGUAGAGAUCAAGAGGAAUACUCAUUGCGAAGGCGACCUGCUAGAACAUAACUGACGCUGAGGUGCGAAAGCGUGGGGAGCAAACAGGAUUAGAUACCCUUGUAGUC